rnacentral:rRNA from 1 species
AUUGAACGCUGGCGGCAGGCUUAACACAUGCAAGUCGAGCGGAGAUGAGGUGCUUGCACCUUAUCUUAGCGGCGGACGGGUGAGUAAUGCUUAGGAAUCUGCCUAUUAGUGGGGGACAACAUUCCGAAAGGAAUGCUAAUACCGCAUACGUCCUACGGGAGAAAGCAGGGGAUCUUCGGACCUUGCGCUAAUAGAUGAGCCUAAGUCGGAUUAGCUAGUUGGUGGGGUAAAGGCCUACCAAGGCGACGAUCUGUAGCGGGUCUGAGAGGAUGCUCCGCCACACUGGGACUGCGACACGGCCCACACUCCUACGGGAGGCAGCGGUGGGGAAUAUUGGACAAUGGGGGGAACCCUGAUCCAGCCAUGCCGCGUGUGUGAAGAAGGCCUUAUGGUUGUAAAGCACUUUAAGCGAGGAGGAGGCUACUGAGACUAAUACUCUUGGAUAGUGGACGUUACUCGCAGAAUAAGCACCGGCUAACUCUGUGCCAGCCGCCGCGGUAACAC